UCACCCUCCACAACCACAAGACCCAUGUGCUUAAUAUGCCAGGAGACUACAGCUGUAAUGACAAUUUCCAAUUUCAAACGGCAUUGUAAGACGAAGCAAAGGAAUUUUGAGGAGACAUUUCCUCAAAAUUCAGAGCUCACCAGAAGAGAGUCAAUGUAAUGUCUGAUUGAGCUGAACAGAGCAGGACUUGUCCGGACCAUUCAUGAAAGGCACCAACCCCUUAACUGAACUGACCUACCGGUGGAUAACAUGUCUGAUAUUGAACCUCCUUUUACGUGAACUCUUCUAUUGGCACUGAAGACUCGUGAAGGUGUUGGAGAUGGAGAUGGAGAGAAGGGAGAGGGAGCGACAGAGAGAUGUCAUCAUUUUGGACUCAGGAUGAAAUAAAGAGCAAUCCAUCAAUC